GUUCCAGGUAAAUCCGGUUCACUUUAACACUGAGGCGUGAUGACGAGGCACUACGGUGCUGAAGCAACAAAUGCCCUGCUUCCAGGAAAAGCCUCUAAGCAUCAGGUAACAUCAAAUCGUACCCCAAACCGACACAGGUGGUCAGGUAGAGAAUACCAAGGCGCUUGAGAGAACUCGGGUGAAGGAACUAGGCAAAAUGGUGCCGUAACUUCGGGAGAAGGCACGCUGACACGUAGGUGAAGUGAUUUACUCAUGGAGCUGAAGUCAGUCGAAGAUACCAGCUGGCUGCAACUGUUUAUUAAAAACACAGCACUGUGCAAACACGAAAGUGGACGUAUACGGUGUGACGCCUGCCCGGUGCCGGAAGGUUAAUUGAUGGGGUCAGCGCAAGCGAAGCUCCUGAUCGAAGCCCCGGUAAACGGCGGCCGUAACUAUAACGGUCCUAAGGUAGCGAAAUUCCUUGUCGGGUAAGUUCCGACCUGCACGAAUGGCGUAAUGAUGGCCAGGCUGUCUCCACCCGAGACUCAGUGAAAUUGAACUCGCUGUGAAGAUGCAGUGUACCCGCGGCAAGACGGAAAGACCCCGUGAACCUUUACUAUAGCUUGACACUGAACAUUGAGCCUUGAUGUGUAGGAUAGGUGGGAGGCUUUGAAGUGUGGACGCCAGUCUGCAUGGAGCCGACCUUGAAAUACCACCCUUUAAUGUUUGAUGUUCUAACGUGGACCCGUAAUCCGGGUUGCGGACAGUGUCUGGUGGGUAGUUUGACUGGGGCGGUCUCCUCCUAAAGAGUAACGGAGGAGCACGAAGGUUGGCUAAUCCUGGUCGGACAUCAGGAGGUUAGUGCAAUGGCAUAAGCCAGCUUGACUGCGAGCGUGACGGCGCGAGCAGGUGCGAAAGCAGGUCAUAGUGAUCCGGUGGUUCUGAAUGGAAGGGCCAUCGCUCAACGGAUAAAAGGUACUCCGGGGAUAACAGGCUGAUACCGCCCAAGAGUUCAUAUCGACGGCGGUGUUUGGCACCUCGAUGUCGGCUCAUCACAUCCUGGGGCUGAAGUAGGUCCCAAGGGUAUGGCUGUUCGCCAUUUAAAGUGGUACGCGAGCUGGGUUUAGAACGUCGUGAGACAGUUCGGUCCCUAUCUGCCGUGGGCGCUGGAGAACUGAGGGGGGCUGCUCCUAGUACGAGAGGACCGGAGUGGACGCAUCACUGGUGUUCGGGUUGUCAUGCCAAUGGCACUGCCCGGUAGCUAAAUGCGGAAGAGAUAAGUGCUGAAAGCAUCUAAGCACGAAACUUGCCCCGA
rnacentral:rRNA from 1 species